rnacentral:lncRNA from 1 species
CGUUGGUGUCUAGCAUGGGGCGAACAUAUUCGCUCGCUAUCCGGUCGCGGUGAGGCGGACUUGCUCAAUUUGUCGCGCGCCCACCGGCAUGUUUUGUGGGG